GCCGGCGCGCAGCCCAAAUCCGAGCUCCCCUGCCUCCGCUCUUCCCUCCCCUCCGGCCAGAUCCGCCUCUCGCGUCCCCGGUAGCUCAUCCCCAACCCCUUCCCACGGCUAGGAUUUCGAGGGUGGCGUUCCCACCAAUUCCGGCGCGGCGGCGGCGACUGUGCUCUCCCUCAAUCGAGGCGUGCGCAACCACCUCGCGACGCGACGCGUGCCACGGCGCGCGCGUACGUGUGCGUCGCUGCACUAAACAAAAGGGUCGUCCCUCCCAUCCCAUCGCCGCCGACAGAGCACACCCACCUCCACCUCCGCCUCCAUUCAUUCGUGGAGAACCGAUUCCCGGCGCCACCGGUCGACUCGCCGUCACUUUCCCUAAGGAGGCUCUAGUGAGGAAGCGAGCGAGAGAGAGAGAGAGAGAGAGAGAGAGAGAGAGAGAGAGAGACGGGCCGGAUGCCUCGAUUCGUUGGCCGGAGAUCUGACGGACGGAUGUUGGUGCAGGUACCGGAUGCCGGAGGGGUCGAUCCCUAAGGAGGCGGCGUACCAGAUCAUCAGCGACGAGCUGAUGCUGGACGGGAACCCGUGGCUGAACCUGGCGUCCUUCGUCACCACCUGGAUGGAGCCCGAGUGCGGCAAGCUCAUGAUGGACUCCAUCAACAAGAACUACGUCGACAUGGACGAGUACCCAGUCACCACCGAGCUCCAGGCAUUAUGACAUGUAUCUCUUGUGCCACGCUUCGCUGACCUACUGUCUGGUGCUCGGCCUCGACUACAAACCGACGAGGUGCCACCGGACGCAAGGGUGAAGCAUGCGCCUCUUUGCUGAAGCUGCUCGCUCUACACCAGUUUCUGUUGCUUCCGUUGCUGCGAAUGUGGUUAAGAAGGCAAGUUGUUGCAUCUGGAGCACAUCAGAGGGAACAAUGAAGUUUGUAGUUUGUACCACUUGGUUCUUACCAUUAGGACAGUACCAGAUGUGCUAAUACAUGCUGCUUUAAAUGUUGUAUUCCUGAUGUAGUAGAUGUUCUUAGUUUGAACUUCAGUUGAACAAUGUGAUGUAGAAGUUAAGGCAAAUUGUGUAGAUGAUAAUUUUCCUGUGUAAUUAAAUGCUG